rnacentral:tRNA from 1 species
GCCUGGCUGGCUCAGCAGGUAGAGCGUGUGACUCUUGAUCUCGGGUUGUGAGAGCGAGCCCCACGUUGGGUG